CCAUAUCACGUUGAAACACCUGUUAUCGUAUGAUCAGCGAAGUUAAUCAACAUCGAGACUGGUCAGUACAUAGAUGGGUGACCACAUGGGAAUACCAGGUACUGUAAG